GACGAACGCUGGCGGCGUGCCUAAUACAUGCAAGUAGAACGCUGAAGAGAGGAGCUUGCUCUUCUUGGAUGAGUUGCGAACGGGUGAGUAACGCGUAGGUAACCUGCCUUGUAGCGGGGGAUAACUAUUGGAAACGAUAGCUAAUACCGCAUAACAAUGGAUGACACAUGUCAUUUAUUUGAAAGGGGCAAUUGUUCCACUACAAGAUGGACCUGCGUUGUAUUAGCUAGUAGGUGAGGUAAUGGCUCACCUAGGCGACGAUACAUAGCCGACCUGAGAGGGUGAUCGGCCACACUGGGACUGAGACACGGCCCAGACUCCUACGGGAGGCAGCAGUAGGGAAUCUUCGGCAAUGGGGGCAACCCUGACCGAGCAACGCCGCGUGAGUGAAGAAGGUUUUCGGAUCGUAAAGCUCUGUUGUAAGUCAAGAACGGGUGUGAGAGUGGAAAGUUCACACUGUGACGGUAGCUUACCAGAAAGGGACGGCUAACUACGUGCCAGCAGCCGCGGUAAUACGUAGGUCCCGAGCGUUGUCCGGAUUUAUUGGGCGUAAAGCGAGCGCAGGCGGUUUGAUAAGUCUGAAGUUAAAGGCUGUGGCUCAACCAUAGUUCGCUUUGGAAACUGUCAAACUUGAGUGCAGAAGGGGAGAGUGGAAUUCCAUGUGUAGCGGUGAAAUGCGUAGAUAUAUGGAGGAACACCGGUGGCGAAAGCGGCUCUCUGGUCUGUAACUGACGCUGAGGCUCGAAAGCGUGGGGAGCGAACAGGAUUAGAUACCCUGGUAGUCCACGCCGUAAACGAUGAGUGCUAGGUGUUGGAUCCUUUCCGGGAUUCAGUGCCGCAGCUAACGCAUUAAGCACUCCGCCUGGGGAGUACGACCGCAAGGUUGAAACUCAAAGGAAUUGACGGGGGCCCGCACAAGCGGUGGAGCAUGUGGUUUAAUUCGAAGCAACGCGAAGAACCUUACCAGGUCUUGACAUCCCGAUGCUAUUUCUAGAGAUAGAAAGUUACUUCGGUACAUCGGUGACAGGUGGUGCAUGGUUGUCGUCAGCUCGUGUCGUGAGAUGUUGGGUUAAGUCCCGCAACGAGCGCAACCCCUAUUGUUAGUUGCCAUCAUUCAGUUGGGCACUCUAGCGAGACUGCCGGUAAUAAACCGGAGGAAGGUGGGGAUGACGUCAAAUCAUCAUGCCCCUUAUGACCUGGGCUACACACGUGCUACAAUGGUUGGUACAACGAGUUGCGAGUCGGUGACGGCGAGCUAAUCUCUUAAAGCCAAUCUCAGUUCGGAUUGUAGGCUGCAACUCGCCUACAUGAAGUCGGAAUCGCUAGUAAUCGCGGAUCAGCACGCCGCGGUGAAUACGUUCCCGGGCCUUGUACACACCGCCCGUCACACCACGAGAGUUUGUAACACCCGAAGUCGGUGAGGUAACCUUUUGGAGCCAGCCGCCUAAGGUGGGACAGAUGAUUGGGGUG
rnacentral:rRNA from 2 species